GCCUGGUUAGCUCAGUCAGUAGAGUAUGAAACUUUUAAUCUCAGGGUUGUAGGUUUGAGCCUCACAUUGGGCA
rfam:Mus musculus chromosome 8, GRC primary reference assembly.